AUGAACCCGCCCCACAGGAAACUGCAGGAAAUAUUUGGAAAAUGGUUACAAAAAGAAAAAAAAAAUAUUAUAAUUUUACUAAAACAGUAAAUGAGUUCCUAUUUGUUCAAGAAAAGAUAUUACAUCAGAGAAGAGAGAGUUGAGCCAAACUGUUUGAAAGGUAUAAUCAAACGUAUAGAUUCAGAUUCAACAAGUUCAUAAGCUACAAGUUUCCACAAAGCAACUUCUGAUGUGAAUAGAAAAUAUUGAAAUCAUCUCACCUGCACUUCAAGCAUUAAAUUCUUUCUAAGAAUUACAUCAACACCCUCCAGCAGUAUUCUUAAU
rnacentral:misc_RNA from 1 species